GCCGGAAUAGCUCAGUUGGGAGAGCGUUAGACUGAAGAUCUAGAGGUCCCUGGUUCGAUCCCGGGUUCCGGCA
rnacentral:tRNA from 1 species